rnacentral:rRNA from 1 species
GAGUUUGAUCAUGGCUCAGAUUGAACGCUGGCGGCAUGCCUAACACAUGCAAGUCGAACGGCAGCGCGGGUAGCUUGCUACCUGGCGGCGAGUGGCGGACGGGUGAGUAAUGCUUAGGAAUCUACCCAGUAGCGGGGGAUAGCCCGGGGAAACUCGGAUUAAUACCGCAUACGCACUACGGUGGAAAGCGGGGGACUCUUCGGAGCCUCGCACUAUUGGAUGAGCCUAAGUCGGAUUAGCUUGUUGGUAGGGUAACGGCCUACCAAGGCGACGAUCCGUAGCUGGUCUGAGAGGACGAUCAGCCACACCGGAACUGAGACACGGUCCGGACUCCUACGGGAGGCAGCAGUGGGGAAUAUUGGACAAUGGGCGAAAGCCUGAUCCAGCAAUGCCGCGUGUGUGAAGAAGGCCUGCGGGUUGUAAAGCACUUUCAGUAGAGAAGAAAAGCGCACGGCCAAUACCCGUGUGUCUUGACGUAACCUACAGAAGAAGCACCGGCUAACUCCGUGCCAGCAGCCGCGGUAAUACAAGGG